rnacentral:pre_miRNA from 1 species
AUCACCUAAAGAGCUUGUUAAAAUGCAGAUUCUGAUUCAGUAGGUCUAGGGAGAGGCCUGAGGUUCUGCAUCUAACAAGUUUCCAGGUGAUGCCAA